AGUGCAUAAAUGCAAUGUACUAUUUAUUAGUCAAUCUUCGUCAUCUGAAAUAUCCAGGAUGGGACACACCACGUCCUCCUCCUCUUCCUCCUCCAGCUCCUCAUCAUCGUCACUUGAGAUCACUUCCUGCUCUUCGGAUGCUUCAAAAAUAUCUGUACUCACAGUUAUCAUGUUCUCAAAAGUACAUUGGGCUGUGGAAGUGACGAUCGAACUUCAACGGAAAGUUCAUUUCCAAACAAGGACCCCAAUACAAACAGUUUAUUUUCCUCUUCACAAACUUUGUUUCGCAGGAUACACUUGAGUCCUCCCUCACAUAAACCCGCCAUGUCGUCUGCAUGUCAGGGGUGGAAAAUAUAGCGGACCGUGGGACCAUUGGUCCCAGAAUUUUUUUUAUGCUGGCAAACAGAAAAAAGGAAGGAAGAAAAAGGGGGGAAAAGAACAGAAGGGAAAGAAAGAAAAGAAGGAAAAGGAAAGAAAGAAAAAAGAAGGAAUGAAAAAGAAUAGAAGAAAGAGUAACAGCACAAAUAAGUAGCCAUUUUGUUCAGAGACAGAGACUAUGUGUAGUGGGUGCCCCCAAAAUAAUUUACGAAAGAACUUUGAUAGCGGAAUGUGGCCUCAUUUGCAGGCAACCUUGUUCUACCCCUUUGCCCCUUUGUUGGUUUGUAUCGUACCACUGCCCUGGUUCCAAAAUUCGCUAUCCCCUCGUUCCCCUGCCUCCUUAAUUAUAUUCCCAAUUUCUGUAGGAAGUAGUAACAGUAGCAGUAACAGAAACAAAUUACUUUAUUAGCA